UCCUACCUAGUGGUCUUCAGAGUUCUCCC
rnacentral:piRNA from 1 species